rnacentral:rRNA from 1 species
UACAGAGGGGGCAAGCGUUGUUCGGAAUUACUGGGCGUAAAGGGCGCGUAGGCGGCCCGUUAAGUCGAACGUGAAAUCCCCGGGCUCAACCCGGGAACUGCGUCCGAUACUGGCAGGCUUGAAUUCGGGAGAGGGAUGUGGAAUUCCAGGUGUAGCGGUGAAAUGCGUAGAUAUCUGGAGGAACACCGGUGGCGAAGGCGGCAUCCUGGACCGAUAUUGACGCUGAUGCGCGAAAGCCAGGGGAGCAAACGGG